GUUUGGUGGGCGGGGCCGUGGCGGGCUCAAAUGGCGGCGGCGCUGGGCACCUAGGCCGGCGGGGGCCAUGAGCGCCGCCCGGCCCCAGUUUAGCAUCGAUGAUGCCUUCGAGCUGACCCUGGAGGACGCGGGGCCUGGGCCCGAGUCCAGCGGGGUCGCCCGCUUCGGGCCGCUGCACUUCGAACGCCGGGCUCGGUUCGAGGUGGCUGAUGAAGACAAGCAGUCCCGGCUACGCUACCAGAACCUGGAAAAUGAUGAGGACGGAGCCCAGGCCUCUCCGGAGCCGGAUGGGGAAGUCAGCACCAGGGAUUCUGGGCACAUGUCUGUCCGCAGCUCGCAGUGGUCCUUCAGCACCAUCAGCAGCAGCACUCAGCGCUCCUACAACGCCUGCUGCAGGUGAGAGCCUCCUCACUUGGGGUUCAGCUUCCAAGUACCUUCUGCUUCUGCCUGCCAGCCAGCCCCAGCUCCCUGCCUGCUUUACCUCCUUGACCUCCGUCUUGCUCUCCUGCCACCCAGCUGGACCCAACAUCCUUUGAUCCAGAAAAACCGCCGGGUAGUGCUGGCCUCCUUCCUGCUUCUGCUGUUGGGGCUAGGUGUCUCCAGUGCCAUCUUCUUUGUGCCGGGCAUCCUGCUGUUAGUCCCAGGAGUCUACCAUGUGAUCUUCAUCUACUGUGCUGUCAAGGGCCGCCGGGGCUUCCAAUUCUUCUACCUGCCCUACUUUGAGAAGUGAGCUGCAACUGGCCAGUGGCUCACCAGUGAUCCAAGGCCUCAGGUCACCUCCACGUGUCCACAGGGUAUUCCUCCAACCUACACCUGGUUCUGUUCCUUUCAUCUGGAAGGCAGAGACCCCCUAGGACCCUCACAACCACCAGGCCCCUUUGAAUUUGCUCAGGAAGUUUGGAGCAGGCCAGCCUGAGGAUAUUGCCUCUUACCUGAUGUGUGCCUUAACUUAUUCCUAGGUUCUGGACUCCUGGGUUGGUGUAAUUUUGUGCUAAUAAAAGAGUAAUUACUUC
ensembl:processed_transcript